rnacentral:rRNA from 1 species
AUGGGAACGCGAAGAACCUUACCUACUCUUGACAUCCAGAGAACUUUCCAGAGAUGGAUUGGUGCCUUCGGGAACUCUGAGACAGGUGCUGCAUGGCUGUCGUCAGCUCGUGUUGUGAAAUGUUGGGUUAAGUCCCGCAACGAGCGCAACCCGUUAUCCUUUGUUGCCAGCGGUUAGGCCGGGAACUCAAAGGAGACUGCCAGUGAUAAACUGGAGGAAGGUGGGGAUGACGUCAAGUCAUCAUGGCCCUUACGAGUAGGGCUACACACGUGCUACAAUGGCGCAUACAAAGAGAAGCGACCUCGCGAGAGCAAGCGGACCUCAUAAAGUGCGUCGUAGUCCGGAUUGGAGUCUGCAACUCGACUCCAUGAAGUCGGAAUCGCUAGUAACCGUAGAUCAGAAUGCUACGGUGAAUACGUUCCCGGGUCUUGUACACACCG